CGUUGAAGCUGACUCUCACAGAUCUCUCAGGGUUGCCACUUGAAUCAAAAAUACAACCAUGAAGUGUGCCCAUUUUUAGAGAUCAAACAUACAGAGACCACGUGCAUGAACAUCUAUUAACAUCUGCACCAUGGAAAAUUUUUGAACAUGUAUCGAACACCAUCACAAUACGGAGCAAGUAAAUCCACAUUGAGUCACACUAAUUUUCGCAGUAUCAUGAAAGCAAAUAUCCUUGAAGUAAGAAACAAAGCAAAAACAAACAAAAGAACAAUGAAUAAACAAAGGACGAAACUUGUGAAGAUGUAA
rnacentral:lncRNA from 1 species